ACCUAUUCCGCCAAAAAGUGCAGUGUCAGUGAGGCGUGGGCAACGUGGAGCUUGAGAGAUGAGUGAGCCCUUGACCCCACGUGUGCACUGAUUGAUUGACAUCUGACGUAGGCAAUGUGGACAGCUUUUUUUCUUACUUCCCACGCAUCCAUUGGAUAAGAAAGUCCACAACGUACACUUUGGAAAACGAGAGCAAAUCAAAUGCGGGAUAAGUGAGUAAAAUGCUGUGCAGUCACAAAUCGGGACACCUGGGCGCCCUGCCCAGAAGACGCAUCUGGCUCUUAAAGAGAAAAUCAUGGGUGCUCUCUGCUCUCCCUGGAGAACAUCUCCCGUUCUCAGUGCAUCUGCAGAGCAAGGAAAAUCACACACGACCCCUCCCACCCAGGACACUCACUGUUCACUUCACUGAUAGGCGACACAUGAGUGUUAGAAGCAGAACUCGGACAUAGCUCAACAGUUCAAGUCUCCUAUGUAAUAUUUUAUUUUCAUGAUGCGCCAAAUGUUUUCAAUGGGUGGCAAAUUGGGACUGCAGGUAUUCCGGAUUAGCACCCUGACUCUUUCUCUACACAGCCACACUGUUGUAAUGCAUGCAGAAUGUGGUGUUAAAUAUGCAAGGUCUUCCUUGAGUCCCUGAAAAAUGCAUCGUCUGUAUUGCAGCAUACGUUACUCCGAAACCUGUAUAUGUUUACCUGUACAAUAAUGGUGCUUUCCCAGAUGUGUAAGCUACCCUUGCCAUGCAUCCCUACACACACGGUUACUGGCUUUUGAAGUGUGAGCUGACAGCAAACUGGGUGGUCCCUCUCCUCUUUAGAAGGUAGGACACGGUGUCCAUGAUUUCCAGGAAGAAUGACAAUUUUUGAUUUGUCAGACCAGACCACAUUCUGAUUUUUUAAUGACAAAAUGUACAGUAGAUGAAGAAAUCUCCUAAUACUUUGCACUGCGGAACAUUAUUCUGAAACUGUUUAACUAUUUGUUCAUGCAGGCUCUUAGUGGUGAACCUCUUACCAUCUUUACUGUGAGACUAAGCCUCUCCAGAGUGUUUCUCUUUUUUUUAGCUUUACACAACUUUUCAUUGUUUAAUUAUCCCUACUCCAACUUUUUUUGAAAAGUGUUGCUGGCAUCAAACUUAAAAUGAGCUCACAAUUUUCAUGAAACAAUAACAUUUUUCACGACACUAACAUUUUUCAGUUUCAACAUUUAAUACCAUCAAACCAUCAAAAUCUGUUUUUAUCUACAUUUUACACAGCGUCCAAACCUGUUUCUGAACUUUAUUGAGCCUUUUUCAGGUUGUUCAAAUGAUUAUUAAUUAAUGUUUAAUUCCACUUAUUGUUUUUCUGUAUUUUUUAAGUGAUCUAACCUUUCUUUUUCGCUCUUCACAGUACUAGUCCAUCUCAUGUAUUUCUUUAUUUUUUUGAUUAAUUUAAUGAAAUGUGACUUCUUUUGAAAACACAUAUUUCUGUUGAGUAUUUCCUGGGGUGUAAGUCCUCAGGUGGCGUUGCUAGUUUAUUGUUUCCACCACUCCUAUCACAUCUACAUUACUGUGUCCAGUUCUCAGUCCUGUCUGUGUACACAGUUUAUUUUCAAAAUUGUGCAACACCUUAGAAAUUAGUUCAUUCUGUUGUGACAGAAGGGAGCUAUCGAUCAAUCUUUCAAGCUGAUAAGAGGCCAUGGCAUCCCUGCAUUAUCACAAAACCAUGAGUUGCUGAGUGCAUUUUUAUUUCUAACCGACAAUAACUCAGAUUAUCAAAACCUUGAAAAUGUUCAGUAACUGUCAGAUAUGUUGGAGAAAUUCAAAAAGAUUCCUGUGGACCCCACUUUUUACUUUUUCUUCUUGUACAUUACUAUAGCAUCAUUCUCUGUGUUUUACAGGAUGGUUAAGUCCUUUUUAAGUCUAAGUUUCAAACAGUUCUUCACAAUAUUGUCCAUGUUGACAGAGGAAAUCUAGAGUUGGAUGUAAAGUCACUUGUUUUCAGAUUUUUUUUCCCACCAGAUUUUUAUCUUCAGCAUGUUUCAUCUCUUUUGUGAGUCUGAAAGUAAUUGCCUGGGAUUCAAGACUGUCCCUGGACAUACCCAAGACUCAGAGGUGAGGAAAUACCUUAUUCAUAAUUUCAAGGUUUGACAGAGUCAUAAAUUGUGCAUCUGAACAUGUCAGAGUUGAAGGUGCUUUGACCUUACUGAGGUGAGACAUGAUGGCCCACAGGCUCUCUGGCUCUGUGAAUGUGGCCAUGCUGCAGUAGACCACACCACAUGAUUCCCAUGAUCAUUACCACAGCUUGGUAGGUGGCUGCUUGUCUGCAUCUGUGCUGGAGUCGAUGUCGGUGUCUCUGGAGCUUUUCUGUGUGUGUUUUAGAGACUUACAAUAUUACAUUGCUGUCCUACAUGAUGGUGGCUUUUUUUUAAUUACAUAAUAAGUAAGAACCAUGCAGUUUAUUGAAUACUGGGUUUGAGGCUUUAGUCGCACAUACAACCACAUCACAGAACCUGCUGUUUUUACUCACAAGACCAAAACUUUACCUUGCUUUGUGGCUAAAAGUCUUGUAUUUAUGUUCUGCUACAAGGACAACAUCAUCCUGCAUUGCACAGGAACAAAAUACCCCAAAUGUAUGUAAGCCCUAAGCAGACAUUGAAUUAAACCUUUUAUUUAC